CAAGGCGGCAAGAGAAAGAGGGAGAAGAGUGAGGAGGAGGAUAAGCUUGGAGGUAAAGGAUUGGUUAGAAGAAGAGAAGGAGGAGGGGCGGAGAGGGGUGAGGAGGUGGUGGUGGUGGUGGUGAUGCUUCUUGAGGUGGUGGCGAUAUGGGUGGUAUGGAAGUUGGGAUUGGUGGCAGAGGAGGCAAUUUAGGCCUAGGCAAGGGAGGCAGAUCCAGCAACUUGGACACAGGUAAUGGUCUCUUGGCCUUGUAAGGAAGCAAACGAAUAGCUGUAGCCACCUUAUUGUUAGUGCUUAGAAAUGGAGGAAUAAAGAGGAAAGCUAUGAUCAUUACAUAAUGGAAACAAGCCGUUUUUUUGGAGGUGGAUGAACCAAAGUGCUUUUUGAACAAUUCCCAAUAGAAUAAGCUGAAACAGUGGAAGAGAGUAGAAAUUGAAGUCUAAGCCAUGGUUUGAGAAUUGGCCAAUUGGGUAUUUAUACAUAUUGACUAAUGAGGUUGUGGGACUUUGGCAAUUGGGUUUUGAUUAUUUUGUGUUCUAUGGUUUGGUUGGGUUUUGCUGAAGUUAGUAC
rnacentral:misc_RNA from 1 species